rnacentral:rRNA from 1 species
GAUGAACGCUGGCGGCGUGCCUAAUACAUGCAAGUCGAGCGAACGGACGAGAGGCUUGCUUCUCUGAUGUUAGCGGCGGACGGGUGAGUAACACGUGGAUAACCUACCUAUAAGACUGGGAUAACUUCGGGAAACCGGAGCUAAUACCGGAUAAUAUUUUGAAACGCAUGGUUCAAAAGUGAAAGACGGUCUUGCUGUCACUUAUAGAUGGAUCCGCGCUGCAUUAGCUAGUUGGUAAGGUAACGGCUUACCAAGGCAACGAUGCAUAGCCGACCUGAGAGGGUGAUCGGCCACACUGGAACUGAGACACGGUCCAGACUCCUACGGGAGGCAGCAGUAGGGAAUCUUCCGCAAUGGGCGAAAGCCUGACGGAGCAACGCCGCGUGAGUGAUGAAGGUCUUCGGAUCGUAAAACUCUGUUAUUAGGGAAGAACAUAUGUGUAAGUAACUGUGCACAUCUUGACGGUACCUAAUCAGAAAGCCACGGCUAACUACGUG